rnacentral:rRNA from 1 species
UACGUAGGGAGCAAGCGUUGUUCGGAUUUACUGGGCGUAAAGGGCGCGUAGGCGGCGUUGUAAGUCACUUGUGAAAUCUCUGAGCUUAACUCAGAACGGCCAAGUGAUACUGCAGUGCUAGAGUGCAGAAGGGGCAAUCGGAAUUCUUGGUGUAGCGGUGAAAUGCGUAGAUAUCAAGAGGAACACCUGAGGUGAAGACGGGUUGCUGGGCUGACACUGACGCUGACAGCGCGAAAGCUAGGGGAGCAAACGGG